AAUAGAAAAGAUUACCAUCUGGUAAACAAAGGCUGUUGGUUUUAUGGGGGGGACACCCCCUCCAGAUGCCAACCCCAGUGAAUAAGAACUCAUUACUUUCAAACACUCAGUGGACUUCUCCCCAGCGUACCUUCAGAGAAUGAAGUAACACGCCAAGAGAAGCUCUCAUCUGAGGCCUCAGAUUAUUGUAAUUGCCAUCAGAUUCGAGUCAGCUGGAAAGAUCUGAACAGCACAGUAGCCAAACUGCGGGAGAAGCCCCUGACUGCAGCCCGCAGACGGAGCCCACAUGGAGGGGGGCGGGCACUCAGUCCACAUGGAGGGGGCUGGCACUCCGCCCACAUGGAGGGGGCGGGCACUCAGUCCACAUGGAGGGGGCGGCCACUCAGUUCACAUUGAGGACUGGUCAAACAGCAUUUCUGAUCCCGUUUCUGACCUGAAAUUAGCUGAAAUGUACCUGAAAUUACCUGAAAUUAGAGUGUGCCCGCCCGAGCGAGUGAUGCCUAAAACAUGCAAACAAAACUGAAGACCAGGAACUGGAACCUGGGAACCUGGAAGAUGAUGUUGUCCUGAAGGACACAAUUCAGGCAGCAGCAUGGUGCCAGUUACAGUCAAGGACAGCGUUUCUCUCCCAGAGGUCAUUGGGAUGGAAGGUUGGGAGCAGAUGGCAGCAUCAACACAGCGCAAAUCCCAUGACGGCGGGGAUGAGGAAGAAACGUGGAAACCAUUCCAAUUCUCAUUCAGAUUACAUACUGACUAUGAACUGUUCUGUGUGGAGAUGAUGGACAGGAGAAACCUGAAGGUGUUUGCCUCUUUUGAGUCAAACACCUCUCCCCCUCCCCGUCCCCCUCCCCGUGACGCCUGCGCCACACGACUCCAAUGUAGUCUGAUGAUGCAGCAUAAUGGCGGCGCUUGGCAGCUAUGGCGGCGGUGACGGCGAUGUCGGGCGACAGAGCGUGAAGCGAGAGUGGCGUCCACCUCACUGAGGAAGGCGUCAGUGUGUUCCCCCCCGUUGAGACUUUGUUUGUUCUACUCUUUAUUGAUUUAUCUUUUAUGUUAAUAGUUUACAAUCUAUUUUUUGUAGUUGUUAUUUUUUAAUUGUUUUGUUGAAUAAAAAGACUGUUGUUAGUG
ensembl:lncRNA